GGCCGCCUGGCGAAAUGGCAUCGCGUCUGACUACGAUCUGGAAGUGGGCAAUGGUAAUCAGGAGAUUGCAGGUUCGACCCCUGCGGUGGUCA